rnacentral:misc_RNA from 1 species
GAUGAAGAACGUAGCGAAAUGCGAUAAGUAAUGUGAAUUGCAGAAUUCAGUGAAUCAUCGAAUCUUUGAACGCACAUUGCGCCCGCCAGUAUUCUGGCGGGCAUGCCUGUUCGAGCGUCAUUUCAACCAUCAAGCCCUGCUUGCGUUGGGGUCCUGCGGCUGCCCGCAGGCCCUGAAAACCAGUGGCGGGCUCGCUAGUCACACCGAGCGCAGUAAUACAUCUCGCUUUGGGCGUGCGGCGGGUUCUUGCCGUUAAACACCACCUUUUUACCAAGGUUGACCUCGGAUCAGGUAGGAAUACCCGCUGAACUUAAGCAUAUCAAUAAGCGGAGGA